UUAAGAAUAACCAUAGGACAUUUUUCUAGCUUGUGUCCUGAAAAAAACAAGUAGCCUAGGUGGAUAAUUAAUUAAGAUUAAUAAAAAGGGUUUAAACUUACAUUACAUAUGCAUUUCCUAGAAUUAAUGAAUACUUAUCAUAAUGGUUAACGCAUUAUGAGCAUGUUUAUUUGUAAAAAAUUAUACUUAGAUCGAUAUGAAUAUUAAUUUUAAG
rnacentral:lncRNA from 1 species